rnacentral:rRNA from 1 species
UACAGAGGUCUCAACCGUUGUUCGGAUUCAUUGGGCGUAAAGGGUGCGUAGGCGGUCGGGUAAGUCGGAUGUGAAAUCUCAGGGCUCAACCCUGAAACUGCAUUCGAUACUGCUUGGCUAGGGUACUGGAGAGGAGACUGGAAUUUACGGUGUAGCAGUGAAAUGCGUAGAUAUCGUAAGGAAGACCAGUGGCGAAGGCGAGUCUCUGGACAGUUACCGACGCUGAGGCACGAAGGCCAGGGGAGCAAACAGG